GUAAAACCUCUAGCUCCCCUAGAAUCGUCUGCUAGCUGAUGAGUUAGCACUUUUUAGCAGAGUCAGCACUGCACGUACACUUAUAAUUCAACUUGUGGACUUGUGGUAGACAUAUGAGCUAGGCUGAAAAUACUCCCCCAGUUUUGUCGUCAACCUACUCCAUGUGCUAACAUCACAUCAUCAGUUCUUGUUGAAUGUGGAAGGAUUACUGUAAAGUUGCUUCUAAGGUGGAUAACAUGUCAGGAUUGGAUGUUAUUAGUUUUCUGGGGGUUUUUCCACCACCAUAUCCGUCAUUCCAAACCAUCCAUUGAAGUUGAAGUAGGCUGGUCAUCAUGGCGCGACAUUUUACAACCCCACCAAUCGAACAGACCCAUCGUCAGACAUGUCGCCUCAUCGCAAAACGGUAAGUUCACGAACUAAGAAGAAUGGAAGAUUCAGAAUUUGAAUUUUGAAUGUCAAUUGCAAACUUAAAUGUCAUUCAGUUUGCAAUCAUCUCAAUUCAAAUUUUUGCUUUUGGUAACCGUCACAAUGUAUAAUAAAUAACAACACGAUGAUUCGGCAUAUCUGUGUGAUAGUAAUGGGUCAAAACA